rnacentral:rRNA from 1 species
GACGAACGCUGGCGGCGCGCCUAACACAUGCAAGUCGAACGGAGCUGAGAGAAGCUUGCUUUUCUUAGCUUAGUGGCGAACGGGUGAGUAACGCGUGAGUAACCUGCCCUGGAGUGGGGGACAACAGUUGGAAACGACUGCUAAUACCGCAUAAGCCCACGAUCCGGCAUCGGAUUGAAGGAAAAGGAUUUAUUCGCUUCAGGAUGGACUCGCGUCCAAUUAGCUAGUUGGUGAGGUAACGGCCCACCAAGGCGACGAUUGGUAGCCGGACUGAGAGGUUGAACCGCCACAUUGGGACUGAGACACGGCCCAGACUCCUACGGGAGGCAGCAGUUGGGGAUAUGGCACAAUGGGGGAAACCCUGAUGCAGCGACGCCGCGUGGAGGAAGAAGGUUUUCGGAUUGGAAACUCCUGUCGUUAGGGACGAUAAUGACGGUACCUAACAAGAAAGCACCGGCUAACUACGUG